UACUGCUCUCAUGCAAGAAACCACACACAUACAACACUUUGUUACAGAACACAAACAUAUAUAUGUCAAAAGCUGGCCGCCCCUUUCUCGAUCUGGUUCACGAUUCGGAGUCUAUGGCCUCUGAAAUUCUUGAAAUCAAUGUAUACGGAGGCAGCAACGUAGGAGGAAGCUCCACCGCCGCCUGCUGCCAAGGAGAAGCCGCCGGAGAAGGAAGAAGACCGUCUAAGCCGUCAUUCUUCUUUCUCUCCAAGCCCAACCCUUCUACCGAAGCCACUGAAGGUUGAAUCGACGGUUAGCACAGCGUUAGAGCAGAGAAGAUAGCGGCACAGCUGAUUGGCGUCGAGAUUGAACAAGGAUUCGCCCCUUUCUCCAAGCCUUAACCCUAGCUCCCUCUCUCAUUCGAAGCCCUAAAUUCGAAGGACACGAAUUGAGGUCAAAGCUAGGAUUGCGGUUGCCGUUAUAUUUGUUAGUUGGCUCACGAAGAAGUUACAUAUAUGCAAUGGAAGAGAGACUAAAACAGAGCAAAAAGAUAUAAGAAUUUUUGUUUUAUUUUGGUUUGGCAUAAGAAGCUAGAAAUUUGUAUAUGGUUAAUUUUUGUAUAAACCAAUGAUUUGGAAUUGACUAUAUAUAUAUAUAUAUAUAUAUAUGAUGUUCUUGGUUA